UACGUAUGGAGCAAGCGUUAUCCGGAUUUACUGGGUGUAAAGGGAGUGUAGGUGGUAUCACAAGUCAGAAGUGAAAGCCCGGGGCUCAACCCCGGGACUGCUUUUGAAACUGUGGAACUGGAGUGCAGGAGGGGUAAGUGGAAUUCCUAGUGUAGCGGUGAAAUGCGUAGAUAUUAGGAGGAACACCAGUGGCGAAGGCGGCUUACUGGACUGUAACUGACACUGAGGCUCGAAAGCGUGGGGAGCAAACAGG
rnacentral:rRNA from 1 species